GGAUUAGAUACCCUGGUAGUCCACACAGUAAACGAUGGAUGUUAGAUGUUUGGUUCAUAUGGACUGGGUGUCGAAGCUAACGCGUUAAACAUCCCGCCUGGGGAGUACGGUCGCAAGAUUAAAACUCAAAGGAAUUGACGGGGACCCGCACAAGCGGUGGAGUAUGUGGUUUAAUUCGAAGCUACGCGCAAAACCUUACCCACUUUUGAAUGCACAUUUUAGUUUUUAGAGAUAAAAGCUUUUAGGGUUUACCCUAGGUGUGCACAGGUGCUGCAUGGCUGUCGUCAGCUCGUGCCG
rnacentral:rRNA from 1 species